CCCCUGUGAACAUACCACUUGUUGCCUCGGCGGAUCAGCCCGCUCCCGGUAAAACGGGACGGCCCGCCAGAGGACCCCUAAACUCUGUUUCUAUAUGUAACUUCUGAGUAAAACCAUAAAUAAAUCAAAACUUUCAACAACGGAUCUCUUGGUUCUGGCAUCGAUGAAGAACGCAGCAAAAUGCGAUAAGUAAUGUGAAUUGCAGAAUUCAGUGAAUCAUCGAAUCUUUGAACGCACAUUGCGCCCGCCAGUAUUCUGGCGGGCAUGCCUGUUCGAGCGUCAUUUCAACCCUCAAGCACAGCUUGGUGUUGGGACUCGCGUUAAUUCGCGUUCCUCAAAUUGAUUGGCGGUCACGUCGAGCUUCCAUAGCGUAGUAGUAAAACCCUCGUUACUGGUAAUCGUCGCGGCCACGCCGUUAAACCCCAACUUCUGAAUGUUGACCUCGGAUCAGGUAGGAAUACCCGCUGAACUUAAGCAUAUCAUA
rnacentral:rRNA from 1 species